ensembl:lncRNA
GCGUUUUUAUUUUUUUAUUAAGACUUUCUCUCCCAAUUCUAUACCACCAAUUAGCUGUAUUUACACAACUACAUCCAAUCAUAUCCUUUAAAAAAAGACACUGGGUUAAACAUUUAAAAUAAAAAAAAACACAAGUUAUCUACUCUCCGCUACUUCAGAUUACUCUGGGUGUGUGAUAACCCAUACAGUUCUCUGUGCAUCAUGGAACAGAGCACUGUCCACAAAGAUCAGUUUGAAUUUCGACCUUGGGUUUAUUAUUGGAGGAAAAAACAUGAACACAGAACAGAAAUAUUGGAUUGGAUUAAUAUUGUACAUGUAAAGCGUACUUCAUAUAGACCGUGGAUAUGUAGCUGAAUUACAGUACCGCAUUUAGUAAUAUAGAAUAUGUAAGCUGAAUUACAGUACCGCAUUUAGUAAUAUAGAAUAUGUAAGCUGAAUUAGAGUACCACAUUUAGUAAUAUAGAAUAUGUAAGCUGAAUUACAGUACCACAUUUAGUAAUAUAGAAUAUGUAGCUGAAUUACAGUACCGCAUUUAGUAAUAUAGAAUAUGUAGCUGAAUUACAGAUAUUGCAUUUAGUAAUAUAGAAUAUGUAGCUGAAUUACAGAUAUUGCAUUUAGUAAUAUAGAACAUGUAAGCUGAAUUACAGAUAUUGCAUUUAGUAAUAUAGAAUAUGUAAACUGAAUUAGAGUAUCACAUUUAGUAAUAUAGAAUAUGUAAACUGAAUUAGAGUAUCACAUUUAGUAAUAUAGAAUAUGUAAACUGAAUUACAGAAGUGUAUUUAGUUGAACAGCUGCAAUUAUGUGUGACUGGAUAUGAGAAUAAAAUUCAGAAAACUCAAAAACGUACAUACAGCACUACUUAUUAUAAGGUAUAACAUUGUACUACUAAUGUAGGUUAGAAUCAUCCCUUAUGUGAACAUUGACAUCCAAUUUGACAAUAUACAUUGAGGAACUUUAUGGAUUUGAUUUUACAAAAAAAAAAAAAUGUUUUCCAUAAAUCCCUGGAGAUAAAACAUGGGAGACAUAAAAGCCAGAAAACACAUACUCACUCAAAAUGAAUAUGGUCCCUCACCACGAUACAAAGUUAAGAGACGGUGGCCAGGUAUUAAUAUGGUCCCUCACCACGAUACAAAGUUAAGAGACAGUAGCCAGGUAUUAAUAUGGUCCCUCACCACGAUACAAAGUUAAGAGACAGUGGCCAGGUAUUAAUAUUGUCCCUCACCACGAUACAAAGUUAAGAGACAGUGGCCAGGUAUUAAUAUGGUCCCUCACGACGAUACAAAGUUAAGAGACAGUGGCCAGGUAUUAAUAUGGUCCCUCACCACGAUACAAAGUUAAGAGUAGCCAGGUUUUUCAUCCAAUUAGCAACAUAUUUUCACGCAAAUAUUCUAACAUUUGCCAUAAAACAAUAUUCACAUUUUUUUCACACCAGAGAUGUUUUUCCAUCAAACGUAAUUUGUGCGGAUAAAAGACUGUGUGGCGUAGUGCACAUAAAACACACCUUUUUCUCUUCAAUCCCCAAUAGAAGUUCAUUGGGUUUCCAUUGCGUUUUGUGAUGUGAGAGAAGUGUUAUAUAUAGCGAAUGUGUCCACUCUGGUCUCUAGCCAACAGUUCGCAAAUGCAGUGCAUUAUGAGAUGAUUUAUGGAUAAAAGCGAUAUAAUUUUUUUUUCAUUUUGUCAAACGGCAGCCAAGUAUCUAUCAACAUGUCACUGGAAUAAGACCCUGGAUAUGGAUUGGAAAGGCGCAUCAAGCUCAUCACCACCCGGUGAAGUUCAUCAUCAUUUAUUUCAUCUGUAGCUUAAUAAACUGUGUGGUUUCCCGAGUCGUAGUGGGGAGGACUACACAACAUAUCAUCGCCGGACUCCAAGUUGACGUCAAUACGAUGGUUAUUAUAUCAAUAAUUAAGUAUAAAGGCAUUUCCACUACCAUUUCUUGCAUAAUUAAUUUUACCGACACAAAAAAGAUCCCGCCAUGUCGAACGAACAAAUUGUCUGUCGGCAUUUCUACAAAUGUACCAGUAUUUAAUGUUUCCAUAAACCCAGUCGUAACUUCUUUCA